UGGAAGGAAUAAUAGUAGAACUGGGUCCACCAUCCUUACCUUAUGCAGGUAGCACAUAACACACAAUACGGGUUAAUGAGAUACAAUAGAUAGAUCCAAUCCAGGAAUAUGUGAGGACCUUUGUGACUCUCAUGCUAAGAUAACAAAGGUAUGGUAAAGUAGACGUGAAACGUUGGCAAAGAAUGUGUUAAUGAGAUGUAAGUGAAGGAACUAAAUAAGAGUUUGAUCAUGAUAGAAAAGUUAAGACAACUACCCUAGAAAAUGGGGCAAGGCUUUAAGUGGGGGAGUAAUCCAAAAACAACUCCAUUCUUAGAGAAAUAAAGAGAGACAAGCUAAUCAAUCG
rnacentral:misc_RNA from 1 species